rnacentral:rRNA from 1 species
UGCCCUAGUAACGGCGAGUGAAGCGGCAACAGCUCAAAUUUGAAAUCUGGCGUCUUCGGCGUCCGAGUUGUAAUUUGCAGAGGGCGCUUUGGCAUUGGCAGCGGUCCAAGUUCCUUGGAACAGGACGUCACAGAGGGUGAGAAUCCCGUACGUGGUCGCUAGCCUUUACCGUGUAAAGCCCCUUCGACGAGUCGAGUUGUUUGGGAAUGCAGCUCUAAAUGGGAGGUAAAUUUCUUCUAAAGCUAAAUACUGGCCAGAGACCGAUAGCGCACAAGUAGAGUGAUCGAAAGAUGAAAAGCACUUUGGAAAGAGAGUUAAAAAGCACGUGAAAUUGUUGAAAGGGAAGCGCUUGCAGCCAGACUUGCCUGUAGUUGCUCAUCCGGGUUUCUACCCGGUGCACUCUUCUAUAGGCAGGCCAGCAUCAGUUUGGGCGGUUGGAUAAAGGUCUCUGUCAUGUACCUCUCUUCGGGGAGA